UCCGGUUUAUCACCGGCAGUCUCCUUAGAGUUCCCGACAUUACUCGCUGGCAACUAAGGACGAGGGUUGCGCUCGUUACGGGACUUAACCCAACAUCUCACGACACGAGCUGACGACAGCCAUGCAGCACCUGUCACUCGGUUCCCGAAGGCACUCCUUCAUCUCUGAAGGAUUCCGAGGAUAUCAAGAGUAGGUAAGGUUCUGCGCGUUGCAUCGAAUUAAACCACAUGCUCCACCGCUUGUGCGGGCCCCCGUCAAUUUCUUUGAGUUUUAACCUUGCGGCCGUACUCCCCAGGCGGGGAACUUAACGCGUUAGCUUCGCUACUAAGAAGUUAAACUUCCCAACAGCUAGUUCCCAUCGUUGACGGCGUGGACUAC
rnacentral:misc_RNA from 1 species